AGCGAACGCUGGCGGCAGGCCUAACACAUGCAAGUCGAGCGGGCCGUAGCAAUACGGCAGCGGCAGACGGGAUAGUAACACGUGGGAACGCGCCCUUCGGUUCGGAAUAACUCAGGGAAACUUGAGCUAAUACCGGAUACGCCCUUACGGGGAAAGAUUUAUUGCCGGAAGGAACGGCCCGCGUCCGAUUAGCUAGUUGGUGAGGUAAUGGCUCACCAAGGCAACGAUCGGUAGCUGGUCNGAGAGGAUGACCAGCAUCACUGGACUGAGACACGGCCCAGACUCCUACGGGAGGCAGCAGUGGGGAAUAUUGGAC
rnacentral:rRNA from 1 species